ensembl:lncRNA
CCAGGCCUCCCGCCGGCUCAUUGCUGGUUCCUAUGCACUGUCCCCACCCCAAGACUCCAGCCUAGGAGCCCCCCCUUCAAGGAGGUGGCUGCACCCCAUUGGCCUGUCUCCUAACCCUCUUGUCCUGGCACCAGGGGUGGCAAACGAAGAGGGAACAACCUCCUCCAUCCGUCUCUCUCUGGGCAUCCUGCCCUGCCCAGGGACUGGCAUGGGGCAAUACCCGCAGUGUCCCCCAACUCAAGGCCUCCAGGGUUGACCCCAAAGAGCCCCCUUAGCGGGAAGGAGGUUUGGGUACAUCUACAUCCAUCCUACCUUCUGGAGAGGCAUGCGGAGGUUCCAGAGAGGGGAAACUGCGGCAGAAGAGAGCCAAAGUCACACCCAGACAGAGGAUCCAGCUGGAACAAUGACGGGGGCCUGCCCAGCCAGCCCCAGCUGCUUCCUUUUCAGUGGCCCUGUGCCCCCUGCCAGGAAAGAGACAGACACACAACGGGAGAAUGCUACAUGGUGAUGGAGACAGCCUGGAGUGAUGUGUCUGCAAGCCAAGGAAUGCCAAGGAUGGCUGACAACCACGAGAAGCUGGGAGAGGCAUGGAGAGAGCAUCCCCUAGAGACCUCCGGGAGAGCGGGGCCCUGCUGACACCUUGAUUUCAGAGUUCUGAUGUCCAGAACUGAUUAAAUGAGAUCAUACCAUACUCAGAAGUUAGAUGCACAGUACAGGAAGAGAAAGGGGCUGACUGGGGGUGAUUCGAGAUCCAAUCUAGCCUGACUUGACACUUUACUUCAUCAUUACUGAGCACCUACUGUAUGCCAGGGUAUGAUUUAUGAUACAAAAGCCUCUUAGCAGGAGAGAAUCAGCUGGAUGGAGACUGAUGGGGAGGAGGGACUCCUGCUUUGAUUAAAGUCAGAGACAAGGCUAGCUUGACAUGAGCUAGUGGCAGUGCAAGUGGGGAAAUGUAUAUGGAUUCAAGACAGAUUUUGGAGUUUGAACUGACAGGGCUUGCGAAUGGACUGGAUAUAAGAUGUGAGAGAAGGGGAAGUCUAGAGUGAUCAAGUGGAUGGUUUACCAGUUACUGUUUUGUUUUUUAAAUAUUUAUUUGUUUUUGACUCUGCUGGGUCUUUGUUGUUGCAUGGGGUUUUUCUCUAGUUACAGUGUGUGAGCUUCUCCUUGCGGUGGUUUCUCGUUGUGGAGUAUGGGCUCUAGGGCACAUGGACUUCAGUAGUUGUGGCUCCAAGGCUCUAGAGCACAGCCUCAAUAGUUGUGGCGCACAGGCUUAAUUGCUCUGCAGCGUGUGGGAUCUUCCCAGAUCAGGGAUCAAACCCAUGUCUCCUGCAUUGGCAGAUGGGUUCUUUACUACUGAGUCACCCAGGGAGCCCUGUUUUUUUUUUUUUUUUUUUUUAAUGAUGCUUUUUCUAUCUUAGAAAAAAUAUUUAUUUGGCUGUGCCAGAUCUUAG